CCUACGGGAGGCUGCAGUGGGGAAUAUUGGACAAUGGGGGCAACCCUGAUCCAGCCAUGCCGCGUGUGUGAAGAAGGCCCUCGGGUUGUAAAGCACUUUCAGUGAGGAAGAACGCCUGGUGGUUAAUACCCAUCAGGAAAGACAUCACUCACAGAAGAAGCACCGGCUAACUCCGUGCCAGUAGCCGCGGUAAUACGGAGGGUGCGAGCGUUAAUCGGAAUUACUGGGCGUAAAGCGCGCGUAGGUGGCUUGAUAAGCCGGUUGUGAAAGCCCCGGGCUCAACCUGGGAACGGCAUCCGGAACUGUCAAGCUAGAGUGCAGGAGAGGAAGGUAGAAUUCCCGGUGUAGCGGUGAAAUGCGUAGAGAUCGGGAGGAAUACCAGUGGCGAAGGCGGCCUUCUGGACUGACACUGACACUGAGGUGCGAAAGCGUGGGUAGCAAACAGGAUUAGAUACCCUGGUAGUC
rnacentral:rRNA from 1 species